rnacentral:rRNA from 1 species
AGGGCAAGUCUGGUGCCAGCAGCUGCGGUAAUUCCAGCUCCAAUAGCGUAUAUUAAAGUUGUUGCAGUUAAAAAGCUCGUAGUUGAAUUUCGGGGUCAGCAGGUUGGUCGUGCCAAUGGUAUGCACUGGCCUUGCUGAUUCCUCCCUCUUGAUGAGCCGUAAUGCCAUUAAUUUGGUGUUGUGGGGAAUCAGGACUGUUACUUUGAAAAAAUUAGAGUGUUUAAAGCAGGCAAGCGCUUGAAUACAUUAGCAUGGAAUAAUGAAAUAGGACGUUCGAUCCUAUUUUGUUGGUUUCUAGGAUUGACGUAAUGAUUAAUAGGGAUAGUUGGGGGCAUUAGUAUUCAAUUGUCAGAGGUGAAAUUCUUGGAUUUAUUGAAGACUAACUACUGCGAAAGCAUUUGCCAAGGAUGUUUUCAUUAAUCAAGAACGAAAGUUAGGGGAUCGAAGACGAUCAGAUACCGUCGUAGUCUUAACCAUAAACUAUGCCGACUAGGGAUCGGAUGAUGUUAAUUUUUUAAUGACUCAUUCGGCGCCUUACGGGAA